rnacentral:lncRNA from 1 species
UAUAUGUUACUUAGGGCAACUUGAUUCAACAAAGAACUCAUGAGCAUGAGGCACACGCCUUAGUGCCUUGCCUUACACUGAAGUGCGCUUAAGCGAGCGAAGCGCUUUCCCUGAGCUUUUGAACUUCAGGGCUUAAGCGUGCCUUAAAUGAGCCUUUGAGAACGCUGGUUUAUUUUCCAGUCAAACUAAUUUACAAGUAACAAGCAACUCUAAACCUACAGAGUAAACUGACAGAGCAGAUUAAUGUGCAAACAAUACAUAUACA